AUGCUUUGGAAGAAGCUUGUACAGUUUGGGAAGGGGUUUUUUGAGAGAAAAGAAGAAUCUACUUCAACCGAUAUGCCCUUAGGCACGGCCAUGCAUAACAUAGAAAUCACACGUGGAAGGGGUGGGCAAUUAGCUAGAGCAGCAGGUGCUGUAGCGAAACUCAUUGCAAAAGAGGGUAAAUCGGCCACUUUAAGAUUACCAUCUGGGGAGGUCCGUUUAGUAUCCCAAAACUGCUUAGCAACAGUCGGACAAGUGGGUAAUGUUGGGGUGAACCAAAAAAGUUUGGGCAGAGCCGGAUCUAAGUGUUGGCUAGGUAAACGCCCCGUAGUAAGAGGGGUAGUUAUGAACCCUGUGGACCACCCCCAUGGGGGCGGUGAAGGGAAAGCUCCCAUUGGUAGAAAAAAACCCACAACCCAUUGGGGUUAUCCUGCGCUUGGAAGAAGAACUAGGAAAAGGAAAAAAUAUAGCGAUAGUUUUAUUCUUCGUUGCCGUAAGUAA
rnacentral:rRNA from 1 species